rnacentral:rRNA from 1 species
CCCUACGGGUGGCAGCAGUGAGGAAUAUUGGUCAAUGGACGAGAGUCUGAACCAGCCAAGUAGCGUGAAGGAUGACUGCCCUAUGGGUUGUAAACUUCUUUUAUAUGGGAAUAAAAUGUUCCACGUGUGGGAUUUUGUAUGUACCAUAUGAAUAAGGAUCGGCUAACUCCGUGCCAGCAGCCGCGGUAAUACGGAGGAUCCGAGCGUUAUCCGGAUUUAUUGGGUUUAAAGGGAGCGUAGAUGGGUUGUUAAGUCAGUUGUGAAAGUUUGCGGCUCAACCGUAAAAUUGCAAUUGAUACUGGCAGUCUUGAGUACAGUUGAGGUAGGCGGAAUUCGUGGUGUAGCGGUGAAAUGCUUAGAUAUCACGAAGAACUCCGAUUGCGAAGGCAGCUUACUAAACUGCCACUGACAUUGAUGCUCGAAAGUGUGGGUAUCAAACAGGAUUAGAUACCCUUGUAGUC